rnacentral:lncRNA from 1 species
GGCCUACGGAAAGCCAGUACAGGUGGCUCGGGAAAGAUCUUGGAUAGUUUGGGAUGUUUUUCGAUCUCUUUCCAAUUUUCGCGGAUUAGGUGAGAUAUUUAAAGUUGUCAAAUUUUGGAUGGUAAGUCAACACAAAAGGCACCCUCUUGUUGACCUUUUUGUCUUUAUAUUGUAAAAGCUCAUCUCGGCUGAUGUUGUUAGCACGAGAAAAACCUUUAUCAAUGUCUUUU